rnacentral:rRNA from 1 species
GAUGAACGCUGGCGGCGUGCCUAAUACAUGCAAGUCGAGCGAACAGACGAGGAGCUUGCUCCUCUGACAUUAGCGGCGGACGGGUGAGUAACACGUGGAUAACCUACCUAUAAGACUGGGAUAACUUCGGGAAACCGGAGCUAAUACCGGAUAAUAUAUUGAACCGCAUGGUUCAAUAGUGAAAGACGGUUUUGCUGUCACUUAUAGAUGGAUCCGCGCCGCAUUAGCUAGUUGGUAAGGUAACGGCUUACCAAGGCAACGAUGCGUAGCCGACCUGAGAGGGUGAUCGGCCACACUGGAACUGAGACACGGUCCAGACUCCUACGGGAGGCAGCAGUAGGGAAUCUUCCGCAAUGGGCGAAAGCCUGACGGAGCAACGCCGCGUGAGUGAUGAAGGUCUUCGGAUCGUAAAACUCUGUUAUUAGGGAGGAACAAAUGUGUAAGUAACUAUGCACGUCUUGACGGUACCUAAUCAGAAAGCCACGGCUAACUACGUG